rnacentral:rRNA from 1 species
UAGCGUAGGGGGCAAGCGUUGUCCGGAUUUAUUGGGCGUAAAGAGCGUGUAGGCGGCCAGGUAGGUCCGCUGUGAAAACUCGAGGCUCAACCUCGAGACGUCGGCGGAAACCAUCUGGCUAGAGUCCGGAAGAGGAGAGUGGAAUUCCUGGUGUAGCGGUGAAUGCGCAGAUAUCAGGAAGAACACCCGUGGCUAAGGCGGCUCUCUAGUACGGUACUGACGCUGAGA